rnacentral:tRNA from 1 species
GCCAAUUUAAUUUUGAAAAUUUAAACUUGGUCUGGCUCAACAAAUUUACAGAAGACCGUUUACAGCAAAACUUAAACAAUCUAUUUCUCCGGUAAAGAAAAGGCGAAGGUUCGAUUCCUUCACUCGGCA